UACGGAGGGCGCAAGCGUUGUUCGGAAUCACUGGGCGUAAAGCGCGUGUAGGCGGCUUGGCAAGUCGGGUGUGAAAGCCCGGGGCCUAACCCCGGAACUGCAUUCGAAACUGCCUCGCUCGAGUCCCGGAGAGGAUGGUGGAAUUCCCGGUGCAGUGGUGAAAUACGUAGAUAUCGGGAGGAACACCAGCGGCGAAGGCGGCCAUCUGGACGGUGACUGACGCUGAGACGCGAAAGCGUGGGGAGCAAACAGG
rnacentral:rRNA from 1 species